CACGAAAGUUCUUCUGUUUUAAAAAAACACUCAAGGAAAUUGAAUUUGUAGUGAAGAUGCUACAUUAAAGUGGUUAGACGAGAAGUCCCCAUGGAGCUUUACUGAAAGCCGAAAAGAAAUUUUUUUUAUUUAUUUAUCGGCUAGACAGUUUUGUUGGGGUGAUAGUUUUUUAAAAAGUAACGAAAACGAACUAUGACGCAUGUUUCACUCUGAAAACUGGAAGAGACAUUUUGGGUGUGUUUUAUGAUCUAUUGUUUUGAAUGAAAAAGAUAAUGAAAGCA
rnacentral:rRNA from 1 species